GGAGCUAUCAAUUUCAUUUUGCCAUCGAUGUAGAGUUGAAUAACCGCCAAAAAAAGUUUCUUUCUUCUUCGCUCUUAGUAUGAAAAAAAAAUCUUGAAGUUAUUUGUAAAGAAUUAGAUUUUGUAAUUUGAGAAAGAAUGUGUUUUGGGGAAGAAGAUAAAGAUGAACGGGGGUUGGAGUGGGGUGGGGUAAGGUGGGGUAGAAUAAAUUGAUAUUUUCAUUUUUCUUUUUCUUUUUUAAAAAUUUAGAUAUUAAAUGUGUGUUUUUUUAUAAUUUUUGGGCCCAAUGUCAAAUGUUAUUUUUUAUUAAGUUAUGUUGCCACGUCACCGUAAGUGUAUCACACACUCUUCACAUUUUUUGUUGAUUAUCAAAAAAUGUCUAGUAGAAACGAUUAUUAUAUAGAUAAAAGUGUUCAAUUGGUAAUAGUAUUAGUUGAAGUGUCUAAGUAAAUUAUGCGGAUAAAUUUAAAGAGUUACUAAUGACUUAAGCCAAAAUUUAAUGAUGCAUAAGGUACGCCAAUUCAUAUUUGUAUGAAGCAUCAUUUGAUUGAUAAGUGGACAUGGUUGAGACCCACCUACCAGCAUCUUUAAGUCCCCUUGGCAUUUUUUUUUUUGCUUGAUGCCUCAUCCUAUGUAUUUUUUGGUUCUACAUUUUUUUGUAAUAAAUGUUUUUCCGUUCUUAGUGUAUACUAUUUCUGAAUAAUUUUUUCUUAUCCUCCUAUAAAGAAAUGGGAAUUAUGGGACGAACAUAGCAUCUAAGACUUGUACUUCAUGCUGGAAAUAUGGUGGGACAAGCAAGGGUAAUUUUGUUAUCAGAAACUAUUUACUUUAUUGUAAUGUACGUGUCUCUGGAAAUGGCCCUGGAACUUCCACGUUGCUAUUCAUUCCCCAUUAUAUCAAUGUAACAAGCACAAAUAUACAGUUGAGUGCUCUUCGUUUUUCACAAUUUUAUCCGAACCUUUUAUCUAAGGUACAAUUGUGAUACUACAUUAGUAUAUGCAUACACAUACAUUUUCAAGGAUUGUCGUUAAUUUAUUCGGAUGAGUUCGAAAGUGAUAUUCUGAUGGUAGGAGAGGGAUUACAGAGGGAAAAAAUAAGGGAAAAGGUGAAUCUACGUCUAUGAACUCCAUAGAAUCAUGAUGGAUAUUUUAGGAUGAUCUAUAAAUGAGGGUGAUGAAUCAACUUCGCAAAUGGUUGAAUUGUGCUCAACAGUUAUUAAGUAACUCAAGUAACCAGUCUUUUCUAUUGUUGUGGAAGUUGUAUGAAUUGAAGUUGAAAAUCCCAAUUGAAGUUGGUCAAAAUAUAGAGAAAUCACAAAAAGAGCUUUUAUUCUUGGCUUGUGAUCAACUGUGAUGUUUCGCGGAGCUUUCAAGGCGAACCUGUCUAUACAUGACUCUGGUGCGGGUGCGGGGUACGUCUCGAAUUCAGUCAAUCCAAUCCGUAUACUUUUACCGAAACCAAGAAAAGAUUGGGAAAGAAAAAAUCAAUUUCUGACGAUGUAAAGAGUACAAAGCUUUAAAAAGUACAGAGAAGAGAGAAGAUAAGAAUAGAAGAAGAGAAAAUCAAUUUUCGGGUACAACGCCAAAAAAUUGAGGACUACAGAGAACUGAAAAGAGAAGAAGAGUUCUUUUCUUGAAAGUUGAAACAAGUAAAAGAAUUAUAUAUUUUUCUUCAAAGUUGAAACAAGUAAAAAGAAAUAUACAUACCUAGACUUUUUUUAAUCUCUCUUGAAAAGUACAUACUCUUUACUUUUUCUUGAAAAGGUACAUUGACUUUUCUUAAAUAAGUACAUCGUCUGCCGCCAGAGUCAGGGUUUUUUCUUUUUAAAAAAAUAA